rnacentral:rRNA from 1 species
GACGAACGCUGGCGGCGUGCUUUACACAUGCAAGUCGAACGGAAAGGCCCUGCUUUUGUGGGGUGCUCGAGUGGCGAAAGGGUGAGUAACACGUGAGUAACCUUCCCUUUACUUUUGGAUAACUUCAGGAAACUUGGGCUAAUACCGGAUAGGAGCUCCUGCUGCAUGGUGGGGGUUGGAAAGUUUCGGCGGUUGGGGAUGGACUCGCGGCUUAUCAGCUUGUUGGUGGGGUAGUGGCUUACCAAGGCUUUGACGGGUAGCCGGCCUGAGAGGGUGACCGGCCACAUUGGGACUGAGAUACGGCCCAGACUCCUACGGGAGGCAGCAGUGGGGAAUAUUGCACAAUGGGCGGAAGCCUGAUGCAGCAACGCCGCGUGCGGGAUGACGGCCUUCGGGUUGUAAACCGCUUUCGCCUGUGACGAAGCGUGAGUGACGGUAAUGGGUAAAGAAGCACCGGCUAACUACGUG